UCGUAAUUCACCUUUUUGCUAAUUUCCAUUUGCCUUGGAAAACGUCGUCUGAGAGCCUUUCUUUCUUCAUUUCCUAUUUUUUUUAAUAGUUUACAAAAAUCGAAAAAAAAAGAGUGUGUUGAGAACCGAAUCGAAUCGAAUCGAUCGCGAAAGAAAUUUCGAUGGAUGGUGAUGAAGAUUUCUACAGCGGCAACGAAUUCGCCGACAACGACUCCGAUUACGCGGACAGCGUCGACGCCGAUUACGAGUUCGUGGAAGACGACGUUGAUGAUUCUGAUGACCUCCUCUUCCGCCGCCGCCAGCAAAACUAUAGUGUGUUAAGCGAGGAGGAUAUAUGUAAGCUUCAAGAAGAAGACAUCUCGCGGGUUUCUUCUGUUUUGUCCAUUUCAACUAUCUCUUCUGCUAUCCUCCUUCGUCACUACAAUUGGUGUGUAAGCAGAGUUCAUGAUGAAUGGUUUGCUGACGAAGAAAAAGUCCGACAUGCGGUUGGCUUGUUGGACAAACCUCUUGUUCAUUUCUCAUCUGAUGCUGAAGCUGAACUUACCUGUGGUAUUUGUUUUGAGACUUACCUUUCUGAUAAAUUGCACGCUGCUGCUUGUGGUCACCCUUUUUGCGAUUCGUGCUGGGAAGGUUAUAUCUCCACGGCGAUUAAUGAUGGUCCAGGGUGUCUUAUGUUACGAUGCCCGGAUCCUUCUUGCAAUGCUGCCAUUGGUCAGGAUAUGAUCAAUGCGUUAGCUCCUGAGAAAGAUAGACAGAAGUACACAAGUUAUUUUGUUAGAUCAUACGUUGAAGACAAUAGAAAGACCAAGUGGUGUCCUGCUCCAGGCUGUGACUACGCUGUAAACUUUGUUGUUGGGAGUGGUAAUUAUGAUGUGAAUUGUCGAUGUUGUUACAGUUUCUGCUGGAAUUGUGCUGAAGAAGCUCACCGUCCUGUAGAUUGUGACACCGUAUCUAAAUGGAUAAUGAAGAAUAGCGCUGAAUCUGAGAACAUGAAUUGGAUUUUGGCAAACUCGAAGCCCUGUCCAAAAUGUAAACGGCCGAUAGAGAAGAACCAGGGUUGUAUGCAUAUUACAUGUACCCCGCCAUGUAAAUAUGAGUUUUGCUGGCUCUGUCUGGGAGCAUGGACAGAGCAUGGUGAAAAGACAGGUGGCUUUUAUGCUUGUAACCGUUAUGAUGCAGCAAAGCAAGACGGCAUUUAUGAUGAGACUGAAAAACGCCGAGAGAUGGCAAAAAAUUCUCUUGAGAGAUAUACCCACUACUAUGAAAGAUGGGCAACCAAUCAAUCGUCUAGGCAAAAGGCGCUGGCGGAUCUUAAGAAGAUGCAAACAGAUGAUAUAGAGAAGCUUAGUGACAUACAGUGUCAGCCUGAAUCACAACUGAAGUUCAUUAUAGAAGCGUGGUUACAGAUAGUCGAAUGCAGACGAGUUCUUAAAUGGACAUAUGCUUAUGGUUUUUACAUACCUGACCAUGAGCAUGGAAAGAGAGAGUUUUUCGAGUACUUACAAGGCGAAGCUGAGUCGGGCCUUGAACGACUUCAUCAGUGUGCUGAAAAAGAACUGAAGUUGUACUUUGAAGCCAAAGGUCCAUCGGAAGAUUUUAAUGAGUUCCGCACAAAACUCGCUGGUCUAACUAGUGUCACCAAAAACUAUUUCGAGAACUUAGUUAGAGCGCUGGAGAAUGGGUUACCGGAUGUGAACUCGCAUGGUGCAUAUGGUCGAGCGGCAAGUUCAAAGAAUAAGGGAUCCACAUCUCGAGCCAGCAGCUCGGAUUCAGGAGGCCAAUGGGCUUGUGAACGUUGCACUCUUGUAAAUCCAAAGUCCGUCACCAUUUGCCAGAUUUGUGAACAUGGCCGGUGAAUAAAAGGAUGCCAGCAAGAAAUCUUCAUACUUGCAUUAAAAGACUGUAUUAUUAAUGUUUUUGUCCCGCGGCUAUGGUCAAGUGGAAGUGUAUUCGAAACUUUUUUGCAUGUUUUUCUGUUGUUGGAAUAUCAAAGCUGAAUAAGUCUUUACAAGAUAAUUAUAAACUGGUUAAAUGCCAAUUUAUGUAAAUUAGUUUUAUAGAAAAUCUU